AAAUUCAAGAAUUCAGACCACAACAGAACUAAUUGAUAAACGAGCCCCAAAAGCCAGAGAGUCGACUCAGCUACAUUAAUUUAGUGAAUGGUUAUCUUGAUGCCAUGCUCCCUCCCUUCCUCUCGUUCUUAUAAUUAUGCUCUAAAUAAGCACAGGAGAGGAAGAAAUAAAGCACUAUUAACACCAGAUAAUGGUCCUUGAAGGCAGAAUUUCAUAAACCAUUAUCUUAUACAGCUUGCUAACUUAUUAUCUUUCCAAAUCACAGAGGGCUGGCUUUCUCUCCUAGCCUUUUCUCUCAAGUAAGCCUCCUUGGCCGUGGAAGGCCGCAUAGCCACACAAGCUGAAAUCCCUGAACGCUCGUAGUAACUGUAACUGUUCUGACUCUUCUGCCUCAGGAAGACAAAGAGCUAAUUUGUUCCUUAAAAAAAAAUUAAUUAUGAAGCCUUUCAAGGAGACCCCAUAAUUGAACUUAGCCAACAGAUCAUUUGCAACGAGGAUGUGGCAGAAAGCAAAAGCUUUUCUUCCAGGAAAUAGGUCAUCUGUAAUAGAAGAUGAAGUCCAGACUACACUUCCCAGGUCCCUUUAUAACCAGGAUAAACGCAUAUGACUUAAAUUCCACCAAUCAGAAGCCUCUGGGCAAGACAAAGCUGCAGGAGUGAGCACCAUAAGAUGGCAACUGCUCCCUAGUUAUGUGGAUUGACUGGAAGGCACAUGGAGUGACAAGGUUGUUUCUUCUGGAUCACUGUGAUGGAAUUUCCUCCAAAUGUGAACGUCGUAGGCGUGGGCAGAGGCAGGGGCAGCCUUGAUGCAUCCCCUAAAAGCGCUCCAAAUAACUGUCAGGCACUGUAUGGGCUGUGUUGUUCAUGGCCCUGCUGUCUGGCUGGUUAGGAGCCAAACCUGAGUCUUGCCCUCCCGGAGAGUCCACGAACUACCUAA